UACACUCCUACGGGAGGCAGCAGUGGGGAAUAUUGCACAAUGGGCGCAAGCCUGAUGCAGCCAUGCCGCGUGUAUGAAGAAGGCCUUCGGGUUGUAAAGUACUUUCAGCGGGGAGGAAGGCGAUAAGGUUAAUAACCUUGUUGAUUGACGUUACCCGCAGAAGAAGCACCGGCUAACUCCGUGCCAGCAGCCGCGGUAAUACGGAGGGUGCAAGCGUUAAUCGGAAUUACUGGGCGUAAAGCGCACGCAGGCGGUCUGUCAAGUCGGAUGUGAAAUCCCCGGGCUCAACCUGGGAACUGCAUUCGAAACUGGCAGGCUAGAGUCUUGUAGAGGGGGGUAGAAUUCCAGGUGUAGCGGUGAAAUGCGUAGAGAUCUGGAGGAAUACCGGUGGCGAAGGCGGCCCCCUGGACAAAGACUGACGCUCAGGUGCGAAAGCGUGGGGAGCAAACAGGAUUAGAAACCCCAGUAGUCCCA
rnacentral:rRNA from 1 species